UUUCCCCCCCCUGUCUGUUGUUUUAGUUGGUAUCAUCAGAGACUCCAGCUGCAGAGCCUCCUGUUGCAGUGGUCCCCCCUGUGGAAACAGCCUCCCAGCCAUCACCACCUCCGCCUCCCCUGCCUCCCCCGCCUGCAGAGAGGACCGGGGGGAUUGGGGACUCCAGACCUCCCUCCUUUCAUCCCAAUGCUACGGGCAGCGUGGAGACGUUGGACGAGCAGACUGAAACCGAGUCUGUGGUUUCCUUCAGGAGGGAGAGGCCCCGGCACAGAGAGAACGUGGAGCAGCACGGCCCCCGCAUGAACGGUCAGAGCCGCCUGGAGCGCCACCUGGCAGGAUACGAAAGCUCCAGUACGGUGAUGAGCAGCGAGCUGGAGACCACCAGUUUCUGUGACUCUGAUGAUGACGACACCAUGAGCAGGU